GAGACGUUAGUAAAAUAAUUACAUAGCCUUGUCAAGACUAAAUUGCAGGUGAAAACCCUGCACAUCUCCA
rnacentral:tRNA from 2 species